UAAAAGCCAACCCUAAGACUGUAAGGAUC
rnacentral:piRNA from 1 species